rnacentral:rRNA from 1 species
UGAGGAAUAUUGGACAAUGGAGGAAACUCUGAUCCAGCCAUGCCGCGUGAGUGAAGAAGGCCUUCGGGUUGUAAAGCUCUUUCAGAUGCGAAGAUAAUGACGGUAACAUCAGAAGAAGCCCCGGCUAAAUUCGUGCCAGCAGCCGCGGUAAUACGAAUGGGGCAAGCGUUGUUCGGAAUCACUGGGCUUAAAGCGUACGUAGGCGGAUUUGCAAGUCAGGAGUGAAAUCCCGGGGCUCAACCUCGGAACUGCUCUUGAAACUGCAAGUCUAGAAUCCGGGAGAGGUUAGUGGAAUUCCUAGUGUAGAGGUGAAAUUCGCAGAUAUUAGGAGGAACACCAGUGGCGAAGGCGACUAACUGGACCGGUAUUGACGCUGAGGUACGAAAGCGUGGGGAGCAAACAGG